rnacentral:misc_RNA from 1 species
CUAAGUUUUAAACAACUUACCCAAAAACUGUGGACUGUUUACCCCUCUCUAAAGCUUUUCGGAGUUUUUUAGAGGGCCCCUUCUUAUUCACCAAACCUUUAGUUUACACUUGAUCUACUAUUUUGAAUCUAAAAUUCAAACA